ensembl:snoRNA SNORD83 Small nucleolar RNA SNORD83
GCCACAUGAUGAUUAUGUACAUUCACGAGCACUCUGUGCCAAGAUGACUUUCUAUCUAUCACCCUUGACUGAUGGCU